GCUUGCAUAGCUCAGUCGGUAGAGCGCAGCCUUGGUAAGGCUGAGGUCGCGGGUUCAAUUCCCACUGUAAGCU
rnacentral:tRNA from 1 species